GCAGUCGAAGGUAACAUAAAGAAGCUUGCUUCUUUGAUGACGAGUGGCGGACGGGUGAGUAAUGCUUGGGAAUCUAGCUUAUGGAGGGGGAUAACUACGGGAAACUGUAGCUAAUACCGCGUAGAAUCGGGAGAUGAAAGUGUGGGACCUUCGGGCCACAUGCCAUAGGAUGAGCCCAAGUGGGAUUAGGUAGUUGGUGAGGUAAAGGCUCACCAAGCCGACGAUCUCUAGCUGGUCUGAGAGGAUGACCAGCCACACUGGGACUGAGACACGGCCCAGACUCCUACGGGAGGCAGCAGUGGGGAAUAUUGCGCAAUGGGGGCAACCCUGACGCAGCCAUGCCGCGUGAAUGAAGAAGGCCUUCGGGUUGUAAAGUUCUUUCGGUAGCGAGGAAGGCAUUUAGUUUAAUAGACUAGGUGAUUGACGUUAACUACAGAAGAAGCACCGGCUAACUCCGUGCCAGCAGCCGCGGUAAUACGGAGGGUGCGAGCGUUAAUCGGAAUAACUGGGCGUAAAGGGCACGCAGGCGGUGACUUAAGUGAGGUGUGAAAGCCCCGGGCUUAACCUGGGAAUUGCAUUUCAUACUGGGUCGCUAGAGUACUUUAGGGAGGGGUAGAAUUCCACGUGUAGCGGUGAAAUGCGUAGAGAUGUGGAGGAAUACCGAAGGCGAAGGCAGCCCCUUGGGAAUGUACUGACGCUCAU
rnacentral:rRNA from 1 species